GAACAAUGGGACUACAAUGGCUGUACUUGGAACUAAAAUGUCUGUUGUACUUGUUGUUUUCAGAUUUCUACCAGUGCAAACAUUAGUUGGACGUCUCAGAAGAGCAUAGGAAGCCAUGCAGUCUUGCUAGCCUUUAUAUCUCCUUACUACUGGAUGCCUUAGCAGAGCUGCCAAGCACCCCGUGUAUCAUAGUUAUGGAUGAAGGAAGAUACAAGAUGUCAGUGGAUGAAGUCACAGUUAACAUCAUUGGCUGUCCACUGGU